rnacentral:rRNA from 1 species
UGGGGAAUUUUGGACAAUGGGCGCAAGCCUGAUCCAGCCAUGCCGCGUGCGGGAAGAAGGCCUUCGGGUUGUAAACCGCUUUUGUCAGGGAAGAAAUCUUCUGAGUUAAUACCUCGGGAGGAUGACGGUACCUGAAGAAUAAGCACCGGCUAACUACGUGCCAGCAGCCGCGGUAAUACGUAGGGUGCAAGCGUUAAUCGGAAUUACUGGGCGUAAAGCGUGCGCAGGCGGUUUUGUAAGACAGAGGUGAAAUCCCCGGGCUCAACCUGGGAACUGCCUUUGUGACUGCAAGGCUUGAGUGCGGCAGAGGGGGAUGGAAUUCCGCGUGUAGCAGUGAAAUGCGUAGAUAUGCGGAGGAACACCGAUGGCGAAGGCAAUCCCCUGGGCCUGCACUGACGCUCAUGCACGAAAGCGUGGGAAGCAAACAGGAUUAGAUACCCUGGUAGUCCACGCCCUAAACGAUGUCAACUGGUUGUUGGGAAGGUUCCUUCUCAGUAACGUAGCUAACGCGUGAAGUUGACCGCCUGGGGAGUACGG